rnacentral:rRNA from 1 species
UACGUAGGGUGCGAGCGUUGUCCGGAAUUAUUGGGCGUAAAGGGCUCGUAGGCGGUUUGUCACGUCGGGUGUGAAAACUCGGGGCUUAACUCCGAGCCUGCUUCCGAUACGGGCUGACUAGAGGUAUGCAGGGGAGAACGGAAUUCCUGGUGUAGCGGUGAAAUGCGCAGAUAUCAGGAGGAACACCGGUGGCGAAGGCGGUUCUCUGGGCAUUACCUGACGCUGAGGAGCGAAAGUGUGGGGAGCGAACAGG